ACACGUAGGAGGCAAACGUUAUCCGGAUUUACUGGGUGUAAAGCGCGUGCAGGCGGUCGUGUAAGUGGUGCGUGAAAGCUCCCGGCUCAACCGGGAGAGGACGUGCCAAACUGCAGGGCUAGAGGCAGGUAGAGGCGUGUGGAAUUCCGGGUGUAGUGGUGAAAUGCGUAGAGAUCCGGAGGAACACCAGUGGCGAAGGCGACACGCUGGGCCUGGCCUGACGCUCAGACGCGAAAGCAUGGGGAGCGAACGGGAUUAGAAACCCCGGUAGUCCAUGCUGUAAACGAUGCUGACUAGGUGUUGCGGGUGAGAUACUCCGGCAGUGCCGAAGCUAACGUGGUAAGUCAGCCACCUGGGGACUACGGCCGCAAGGUUAAA
rnacentral:rRNA from 1 species